CUCAUUCCAGGAUUUGUCUUUAUUUUUACUAUUUUCUAUAUUGUAGAAUAAUAGUGAAGACCGCAAAACUAUGAAAUAACACAUGGAAUCAUGUAGUAACCAAAAAAGCAUGAAUCAAAUCAAAAUAUAUUUGAGAUUCUUCAAAGUAGCCACCCUUUGCCUUGAUGACAGCUUUGCACUCUUGGCAUUCUCUCAACCAGCUUCACCUGGAAUGCUUUUCCAACAGUCUUGAAGGAGUUCACACAUAUGCUGAGCACUUGUUGGCUGCGUUUCCUUCACUCUGCAGUCCAACUCAUCCCAAUUGGGUUGAGGUCUUGUGAUUGUGGAGGGCAAGUCCGCUGAUGUGUAGUCCACACACUGCACCUCCACGGCCUCCUUAACUUCCUUCAAACUGGUGUCCCCUACAGUUACCUCAACAGCUGGAGCCUCCCUCUGAGAGACAACGCCACCAGCUGCACUGUGCCUGUAACACACACACACAACCUCUAUCCAUGGCCUGACCCUGGUCUUGCCUCUCACAGUGGCCUACCAUCAGUCUCUCUCAUGGGCUUGGAGCUGCCUCUCGCUCCCCUGGGAGAUCCAGGGCUAGAGUAUCUGAGCCGGUGCUAUACUACAGGCCUUUCCUGCCUGCGCACAAACACACACACCACAGGCCGCGACACACACCCCUACGUGAAGCUUGCUACCUUACUCCUCCCAUACGGCCUCUCCUCAUAGGUCCUGACCAGCACCACCCUGCCCCGUCGCCCACUGAUACCAAACACUGUGGACCACCAUUUCUUCUGGCUAAGGUUACAAUAAAAGUGAUUGGCUGCUCCGGGCUGUGUAGUACUCUGACACGGAGGCCUGGUCAUCCCGGAGGGAGCAGAGACGCCCAUUAAGCAGGCUGCAAAGGAUCAUAGGGGAGUUGAUGAGGGCAGCUUCGACACCGAAGAGGAGCUUGAAGAGGAGAGGCUCCAGGAGAAAAUGGCCAACGCCAGGUGAGGAUGAUAAUGAUGAAAAUGGUGGUUGUUGUUGUUGAAGAUGUUGGUGUAAACGCAAGCCAACACAGGUUGCAUGACCACUCCUGCGCUGUCAUUUUCUUCUGAGUCAUCAUGGUAGACAACAGUAAUGACAGGUAGACUAAACUCCAGUCAGUUUCCGUUGGUCAGCAGCGUUAUAGAAAGUGAACCCCCAGCCUGCAUCUCGCAGGGAGACAAACCCUCCACCUCAAUCAGAGAACACACACCCUUGUCUCUGGCUGCCAGCGAAUUAGACAACAUUUUGAAUAGAGCAGGGCCAGGGGACUGGUCAGCUGGGGGAGUGGGAGACCUAAGGAGAGAUAACAAGGGGGAGAGGUUUAUCAAAUAUACAUUUCAUUUUUGCAUGGUCAGUCUGAGUAGUUAAAAUGAAGAGGUUCAUACCUGGGGUGCAGAGUUGGUAGAUCGACACAGUACACCCCAUCACUCUCACAGACAGCACAGACACACUGCUUGUCCUCACUCCGCA
ensembl:lncRNA